UGUUUUUUUUAAGACAUUUAGUUCAUAGGGUAAAGGUCACACAGGUGGAGUGGUUGUACCCUGGAAUAUCAGCAGAUGGUGGUGUGCGGGUGACUGUUCAACCUGUAAAAUACAGUCAAUACUAUCAAGUAUUGCACUGUACCAGAGAAUGUCUGGAACGUAAAAUGUUGAGAUAUCGACUCACAAAAGACAUGGGACAAAGCCAGUACCCCGCCCCACAGUCUAUGCUCGUGCACACGUCUCGCAAGUCCAAGGAGACCAUCGAGCUGAAAUUCAUCGACACCACAUCCAAGUUUGGCCAUGGCCGCUUCCAGACUGCCCAGGAGAAGAGGGCAUUCAUGGGGCCGCUGAAGAAGGAUGGCAUUAAGAAAGUGACAGAGCCUCUGGCAGAGGAGGCCUGAAAGAAAUUCUCAAUUCUGACACAGCAAUAAAACCCAGAAACAAAAACAGUUUGUACACAGUACACAACCAGUACACUGUGUGUGAUUGUGUCAUGUAAAUUAAAAUUGUUGUUACCGAA